CACACUGUAGCUCAGCGUCGCCAGGCUGGCCAAUACUACCUCAGUUUCCCAAGUUUGGAGAUUACAUGUUCUGUUUGUUUUCUUUUUUAACAAACAAUAAAUUUAGUAUAAAGUAAUGGUAGUUGGAGGUAACGUACAAAGUAGAGGUGCUACGCCAAGAUGAAGCGCCACAAUAAGGCCAUCCUGUGUCUGCUGGUUCUUCAUGCACACACCAAUUAUUAGGUGAGGGGUUGGUAUUGGGCCUUCCGUUGCAAUGUUAGGUGUCCAUUUUGUAAUGAGCCCCAUUGGGGAGUUCGACCACUUCCUUGAUCUGUCAGAUCUGAAACAAGCCACCUAUCAGUCUGUAAACAAACAAACAAACAAACAAAAAACUAGAUGGUUCCUGGAAGAUGGUGCUGUUUCUGGUGUACUCGGAGGCUGCAGUCAUCUCCCUCAAAAUGGACUUAGAAGCUGUGUUUCCAGAGGCAAGCAGGUAUGAGUUGGGGCCAGCCUGGUCUACGUAGGAAGUUUCGGGCCAGUCAGGUUUGCAGCGAGAACCUGACUCAAAUUAAGAUGGAGUCUCCCAGGGCAGGGCACAGCCUGGAAAAAAAAAAAAAAAAAACACUGUUUCCUACAAUAUAGGGCAAUUUCGAAUAGCGCAUAGCCAUUAGGGCAUCUCGAAAGUGCCCAGUGAGUUUUCUGGGUUCUUGUGUUCCAGAAUUAAAAAAAAAAAAAAAAA
rnacentral:lncRNA from 1 species